rnacentral:rRNA from 1 species
GACGAACCGUGCAAACGUUGUUCGGAAUUACUGGGCGUAAAGCGCGCGUAGGCGGACCUGCAAGUCGGGGGUGAAAGCCCGAGGCUCAACCUCGGAACUGCCUUCGAUACUGCGGGUCUCGAGUCCGGGAGAGGUGAGUGGAAUUCCUUGUGUAGAGGUGAAAUUCGUAGAUAUUAGGAAGAACACCAGUGGCGAAGGCGGCUCACUGGCCCGGUACUGACGCUGAGGUGCGAAAGCGUGGGGAGCAAACAGG